rnacentral:lncRNA from 1 species
AUACAUGUAUAGAGUCUAGUAAUUUGUCUUCUAUUGAUGUAGGUGAAAGUAGUAAUAUUUCGUAUGAUAACGAUGGAUCUUAUGACAACAACGGACCUUAUGACAACAACGGACCUUAUGAUACUUAUUUUUUAGAUGAGUACAUAAAUAAACAUUUUAAACCAUACCUACCUAAAUUAUGUAGUAUUUCGGAGCACAUAGAAACGAAUUAUUCAAAUUAUGUAAAAAAAAAUAAUUAUUUAUUUGUAGAGACUGAAGAAAACAAUAAAAAUAACAACUAUUUACUUAAAAAUGGUGAACAUAGUGAAAACAUAAAAAAACAUCUCUUACAUACUGCUAACAACUGUUUAAUAAAAUAUUUAUUCCUAAAAAGAAAUGAAUAUAUUGAAAAAAAAAAAAAAAUAAAAAUAUCAACACAGGAGUGGGUAUGUGGUACAACUAAUAAUGAAACUAUAAAACAGGGAGGAAAAAGAAAAAGCAAUACAAACGUUGUGAAUGUCACAAACGGUGCAAAUGACACAAACGGUGCAAAUGACACAAACGGUACAAAUGACACAAACGAUGCAAGCAAGUGUAGUUAUAUACAUAUAGACAAACUAAUCGACAAUAUGUUAUUCAAAUUAAUUGUCAUAAGUAAUAAUCCUAUGUACUCCAAUUUUAUUAUGAACACUAUAAAUCUAAAUCUGAAUAUUGUAGAAUGUGAAAAUAUUUUACUGAAAAAAAAAAAAUUUAUUGAAACAGUUAUACUGUAUAUAAAAAUUAAACAGUAUGAUAAAGUCAUACAAAUGUGCCAAUUGUUUAUUUAUUAUUAUAAUCUAAAGUGUAAUCAUAAAGAAGAAGAAGAAGAAGAAGAAGAAAAAUAUUAUGAGGAACAAAUUGUUGGGACUAGUAAUAAAACGAAUCAUGUUGUAUCUACUUAUAAUGUAGACACUUUGGUAAAUGUGGCAGACACGGAAAAUGUAGAUAGCUUAUCUAAUCAUGUUAAAAAAAAUGUGGAUAAAGAACUGAAACAACAAAAACAGCAAAAGUUAGAACAAUGGGAUAGGAUAAACCAAUGCUGGAAACAAUUCUUUGAACAUAAAACAUUC